rnacentral:rRNA from 1 species
AUUGAACGCUGGCGGCAGGCUUAACACAUGCAAGUCGAGCGGGGUGAUGGUGCUUGCACUAUCACUUAGCGGCGGACGGGUGAGUAAUGCUUAGGAAUCUGCCUAUUAGUGGGGGACAACAUCUCGAAAGGGAUGCUAAUACCGCAUACGUCCUACGGGAGAAAGCAGGGGAUCACUUGUGACCUUGCGCUAAUAGAUGAGCCUAAGUCGGAUUAGCUAGUUGGUGGGGUAAAGGCCUACCAAGGCGACGAUCUGUAGCGGGUCUGAGAGGAUGAUCCGCCACACUGGGACGGAGGCACGGCCCAGACUCCUACGGGAGGCAGCAGUGGGGAAUAUUGGACAAUGGGGGGAACCCUGAUCCAGCCACGCCGCGUGUGUGAAGAAGGCCUUAUGGUUGUAAAGCACUUUAAGCGAGGAGGAGGCUCUUUUGGUUAAUACCCAAGAUGAGUGGACGUUACUCGCAGAAUAAGCACCGGCUAACUCUGUGCCAGCAGCCGCCGUAA